GACGAACGCUGGCGGCGUGGAUUAGGCAUGCAAGUCGAACGGUAUCAUCCUUUCGGGGGUGAGAGAGUGGCGAACUGGUGAGUAACACGUAGGUUAUCUACCCUCAAGACGGGGACAACCCAGGGAAACUUGGGCUAAUACCGGAUGUGAGCAACUUUUAGUUGUUUGAAAGGUGGCGUAAGCUGUCGCUUGGGGAUGAGCCUGCGUCCUAUUAGUUAGUUCCGGUGAGGUAACGGCUCACCUAGGCAAUGAUAGGUAGGCGGCCUUAACGGGUGGUCGCCCACACUGGGAUUGAGAUACGGCCCAGACUCCUACGGGAGGCAGCAGUCGAGAAUAGUCUACAAUGGUCGGAAGACUGAUAGUGCGACGCCGCGUGAACGAUGAAUCCCUUCGGGGUGUAAAGUUCUUUUAUAUGUGAGCAGUGCUUCUUAUAUUAACAGUAUGGGGAGAGAGAUAUUAGCAUAUGAAUAAGCAACGGCUAACUCCGUGCCAGCAGCCGCGGUAAU
rnacentral:rRNA from 1 species